UAGCAAUACGUGGCACACGGCUCAGUAACACGUAGUCAACAUAACCAAUGGACGUGGAUAAACUCGGGAAACUGAGGCUAAACCGCGAUAGACCAAGAUACCUGGAAUGGUUUUUGAUCAAAAUCUAUAUGGCCUUUGGAUUGGACUGCGACCGAUCAGGCUGUUGGUGAGGUAAUGGCCCACCAAACCUGUAACCGGUACGGGCUCUGAGAGGAGGAGCCCGGAGAUGGGUACUGAGACAAGGACCCAGGCCCUAUGGGGCGCAGCAGGCGCGAAACCUCUGCAAUAGGCGAAGGCCUGACAGGGUUAUUCUGAGUGACUUUCGCUAAGAAAGUCUUUUGACAUCUCUAAAAAUGGUGUAGAAUAAGGGGUGGGCAAGUCUGGUGUCAGCCGCCGCGGUAAUACCAGCACCCCGAGUGGUCGGGACGAUUAUUGGGCCUAAAGCAUCCGUAGCCGGUUUUACAAGUCCUCCGUUAAAUCCAACUGCUUAACAGAUGGGCCGCGGAGGAUACUAUAAGACUAGGAGGCAGGAGAGGCAAGCGGUACUCAGUGGGUAGGGGUAAAAUCCGUUGAUCCAUUGAAGACCACCAGUGGCGAAGGCGGCUUGCCAGAAUGCGCUCGACGGUGAGGGAUGAAAGCUGGGGGAGCAGA
rnacentral:rRNA from 1 species